rnacentral:rRNA from 1 species
UUUCCAGAGAUGGAUUGGUGCCUUCGGGAACUGUGAGACAGGUGCUGCAUGGCUGUCGUCAGCUCGUGUUGUGAAAUGUUGGGUUAAGUCCCGCAACGAGCGCAACCCUUAUCCUUUGUUGCCAGCGAUUAGGUCGGGAACUCAAAGGAGACUGCCAGUGAUAAACUGGAGGAAGGUGGGGAUGACGUCAAGUCAUCAUGGCCCUUACGACCAGGGCUACACACGUGCUACAAUGGCGCAUACAAAGAGAAGCGACCUCGCGAGAGCAAGCGGACCUCAUAAAGUGCGUCGUAGUCCGGAUUGGAGUCUGCAACUCGACUCCAUGAAGUCGGAAUCGCUAGUAAUCGUGGAUCAGAAUGC